rnacentral:rRNA from 1 species
UACGUAGGCAGCAAGCGUUGUUCGGAGUUACUGGGCGUAAAGGGUGCGUAGGCGGCUCUAUAAGUAUGGUGUGAAAUCUCCCGGCUUAACUGGGAGGGUGCGCUAUAGACUGUGGGGCUAGAGUGUGGGAGAGGAAAGUGGAAUUCCUGGUGUAGCGGUGAAAUGCGUAGAUAUCAGGAGGAACACCGGUGGUGUAAACGGCUUUCUGGACCAUAACUGACGCUGAGGCACGAAAGCGUGGGUAGCAAACAGGAUUAGAUACCCUGGUAGUCCACGCCCUAAACGAUGCAUAUUUGGUGUGGGUCAUUCAGUUGAUCCGUGCCGGAGCUAACGCGUUAAAUAUGCCGCCUGGGGAGUACAGUCGCAAGGCUGAA